rnacentral:tRNA from 1 species
UGGAGCGUAGCUCAGUGGUAGAGCGCCGCAUUUACACCGCGGAUGUCACAGGUUCGACCCCCCUGUCACCCCAA